CCCAGAUCCCGUACUGCCCCGACAAUGUUCGUGUCCAAGAGCGGAGGCCGAAUCGCAGACUUCAAAGAAGAGGUGGACCAGCUGCCCGCAAGUGUUCGUGUCGUGGUGUUGCACUGUGGGACGAAUGACAUGCCGGACACCGAUCCCGACAUGGCCAUCCGUCGCUAUGUGCAACUCAUCGACCACAUUCGCUCUCGGGGAAACAUCGAACUUGUGGCGACGCGAAUUCCAGUGCAAUCCCCGGGCAUUUGCGUUCAACCAACGACUGAUGACCCUGUGCCGAGGUGCCCGUGACCUGUAUUUCCUGGACCAUGGUUUCCACCGACAGCCCCCAACCAGAGUCCUUGCAGCUGACGGCCUCCACCCCAGUUUCGAAGGAGUCACCCAGAUCGCCCACCGACUGCGGUCCCUGGUACCCCGGCUGCUCCGUCGCCUACCCACACGUACAGCAAGCACUGGAACGCCGGACCCCGUAUGGCCGACACUCCAGGAGGCUGCAGCAUGGACACAAAGAACCACACGUGCCGAGAAAUCGUCACGAGCCAAGCAGCAGGAUUGACUAGCCGGCUCACGGGUAUUUCCUCAAGGUCCUGCUGCACAGACCCGGUCAUUCCCCUUUCACUUAGUCACCAACCUAUGUUAGUCAUGA